UAGGGAAUCUUCCACAAUGGACGCAAGUCUGAUGGAGCAACGCCGCGUGAGUGAAGAAGGUUUUCGGACCGUAAAGCUCUGUUGUUGGUGAAGAAGGAUAGAGGUAGUAACUGGCCUUUAUUUGACGGUAAUCAACCAGAAAGUCACGGCUAACUACGUGCCAGCAGCCGCGGUAAUACGUAGGUGGCAAGCGUUGUCCGGAUUUAUUGGGCGUAAAGCGAGCGCAGGCGGAAGAAUAAGUCUGAUGUGAAAGCCCUCGGCUUAACCGAGGAAUUGCAUCGGAAACUGUUUUUCUUGAGUGCAGAAGAGGAGAGUAGAACUCCAUGUGUAGCGGUGGAAUGCGUAGAUAUAUGGAAGAAUACCAGUGGCGAAGGCGGCUCUCUGGUCUGCAACUGACGCUGAGGCUCGAAAGCAUGGGUAGCGAACAGGAUUAGAUACCCUGGUAGUCCAUGCCGUAAACGAUGAGUGCUAAGUGUUGGGAGGCUUCCGCCUCUCAGUGCUGCAGCUAACGCAUUAAGCACUCCGCCUGGGGGAGUACGACCGCAAGGUUGAAACUCUAAGGAAUUGAC
rnacentral:rRNA from 1 species